rnacentral:lncRNA from 1 species
CAUUGAUCUAAUCCAGCUCAGCUGGGGCAGACAGGCUGGUCUAGAGACUGGCCCCCCCCAACAGCAAGCCCUCAGGCAACUUGUGGGCCCACAUAGGUGGGGUACCUGGAACCUCUGCAGCCAGGAUAAUUAUCAAGCUUGAUCAGUCUGCUUAGGCUCCUGUAUAUCAAGACAACAAUCCCAACAUUUCAGUGCUUGUAACAAGAAAUGAUUAUUUCUCUUCAUGCUGCAUGGUCAUCACAGUUAGGCUGAGUCUCUGCUCCACAUUAUUUUUAGAAAAGUACCAGGGCUGAAGGAACAGACCUCAUCUAGGACAACUCCAUCUUGAGGCAGAGGAGAAGAGAAGACGGAUAAUUGCCCCUUUAAGAAACGGUCUUAAGGAAGCAAUAAGAGAUGUGAAAAAACUGCACAUCAGGGAUGCUCAGCGUUUACUGAGAGAAAAACUGGACAGGCUGACAAUAGCUCACAUACUUCGAGCUCUUGCACUCGCUGUGCGAGAUACUUCUGUGCGCAGCCUGGCAGUGAGCAGCGCCCUGGUGAGUGUGGAGAGCUGGACGGUUUUUGUGCAGUCCUACCUCUUCUAGAUGCGAAAGCUUGUCUUUUAUGUCACCACCUGCCCUCUAGGGAUCCAAGGCCUGAAGGAUCCUGAAUGUUCCAUGCUGCCCAACAGGUUGUUGGUCAUACUGGCUAGAUUACAUGGGGCACUGACAGGGAGACUGAGCACUCUCGCGCGCAAUGAGUCACUACCAGAAGGAUGGUCCAUGGGGGCGUUGCCGCGCACCAUCUAUUGCUUAUCCUCAGCGCACAGUAAUGCAGAGGACAGGGGUCCCCGAGGCAACUCCACACAGAUGAGGAAAAUGAAGCUUAAGGAAGUCAAGACAAGUGUUUAGAGUCACACACUCUAUGAGGAAACUGAGAGAGAAGAGUAGGAGAAGAAAAUCAGCGUCUUUGACCCAAUAAAUCGCCAUCCUCUGAACAGAAUUGAGAAUGGACAUUAAUUCCUUAAAAGGUGUUCUCUCUCUUGCCCUCCAAAAAAAAUCAAUGCCUUAUAAAAAUGUGAUCUUUGGCCUCUGCACUGAGUGCAGAAUUUAACUAGCAUAGAAAAAAAUGUGUUUGGCAGAAUUCACCUUCUUUUUAAAAGAGACAGAG